GUGACGUCAAAGGCAAGAAAGGAGACUUUGGCUGCGUGCGCAUCGGAGACGUUUGAUUAUGAUUGGAGUUUUGAUAUUUUUACUUUUAAUACUAUUGGUAACUGUUAUCAUAAUCAUCUUAUGGAAAAGUGGUAUAAUAUUUGUUGACUAGUCCAAUGCAUACUUCGGUGGGGUAUUUGUGUGUCAAUACAUCUUGUCUCAGAGAUGAGAAAAACGAAUCGGACACUUGGCUAGCGAAGAUGGUAUAGUGGGUGAUACUAGUAAACUUUUUUGACUGUGGAAUAGUUUUGACUUGUGUUAAUAUAAAGUCUGGAAACUUCAUUUUACAACAGUUAAUAUUUAAGGCAACGCGAAGUGUCAAGAUGUAUUGACACACAAUUUUCAGAGAAAAAGAUUUAAAAGAAUAAGUCUAGGUUUUGUGUUCAUUUACAAUUAUACAAGAAUUGUGUGUGCUGUUUUUAUCAGAUGUGUUCAUUUAAAAAUACUUCUUUUUUAUUAUUUAUUUCUAAAUAUAAUUGGGAACUAAAAACUAAAGAAUGUAAAAUUAAUUGUUAUAUUUUUCAUGUGCCAAACGUACCAUUUGAGUUGUUUGUUGCAUUUCUUAUGCAUACAUGUAUAUUAAAAUCAUUUAAAUAAAUUUCAUAUUGAGUAUUCUACCACUGUUUUAGAGAUUUGUGUACUGUAAACCAACUUUAUUUCGCGUAAGAGAAAUUUUCGCGAGAGCCUCAUUGUUGCUAAUAUUUUAAAAUUUCGCUUCGGACCAGUAUUUGACAAUUGCAGUAUAGCUGUAAUGAAAAACAGGCCGCGAAAAUUAGUUGCCGCGAACCAGUUCAUUUCGGGUUAAUUAAAUAAGUCGUCGGUUAUAAUAGUUGGUUUACAGUAUUACUACAUGUAGUCCAUUUUCGUUUUUACAGCUGUUUAGUUUCUUCCAUAUAUAUGCAAAAUGAAUUGUUAUUUAAACUCGAAAAAGAACCAUUUUAUAAAGAUUACAUCAUUUAGAUCAUCU
rnacentral:misc_RNA from 1 species